GACGAACGCUGGCGGCGUGCUUAACACAUGCAAGUCGAACGGAAAGGCCCUGCUUGCAGGGUACUCGAGUGGCGAACGGGUGAGUAACACGUGGGUGAUCUGCCCUGCACUUCGGGAUAAGCCUGGGAAACUGGGUCUAAUACCGGAUAGGAGCCAUUUUUAGUGUGAUGGUUGGAAAGUUUUUUCGGUGUAGGAUGAGCUCGCGGCCUAUCAGCUUGUUGGUGGGGUAAUGGCCUACCAAGGCGGCGACGGGUAGCCGGCCUGAGAGGGUGGACGGCCACAUUGGGACUGAGAUACGGCCCAGACUCCUACGGGAGGCAGCAGUGGGGAAUAUUGCACAAUGGGCGCAAGCCUGAUGCAGCGACGCCGCGUGGGGGAUGACGGCCUUCGGGUUGUAAACUCCUUUCGCUAGGGACGAAGCUUUUGUGACGGUACCUAGAUAAGAAGCACGGGCUAACUACGUG
rnacentral:rRNA from 1 species